rnacentral:rRNA from 1 species
GACGAACGCUGGCGGCGUGCCUAAUACAUGCAAGUCGAGCGAAUCAAUAGGAGCUUGCUCCUGUUGGUUAGCGGCGGACGGGUGAGUAACACGUGGGCAACCUGCCUGUAAGACUGGGAUAACAUCGGGAAACCGGUGCUAAUACCGGAUAAUCCUUUUCCUCUCAUGAGGAAAAGCUGAAAGACGGUUUCGGCUGUCACUUACAGAUGGGCCCGCGGCGCAUUAGCUAGUUGGUGAGGUAACGGCUCACCAAGGCGACGAUGCGUAGCCGACCUGAGAGGGUGAUCGGCCACACUGGGACUGAGACACGGCCCAGACUCCUACGGGAGGCAGCAGUAGGGAAUCUUCCACAAUGGACGAAAGUCUGAUGGAGCAACGCCGCGUGAGCGAUGAAGGCCUUCGGGUCGUAAAGCUCUGUUGUUAGGGAAGAACAAGUACCGGAGUAACUGCCGGUACCUUGACGGUACCUAACCAGAAAGCCACGGCUAACUACGUGCCAGCAGCCGCAGUAACAC